rnacentral:rRNA from 1 species
GGAAAGCUCCGGCGGUGAAGGAUGAGCCCGCGGCCUAUCAGCUUGUUGGUGGGGUAACGGCCCACCAAGGCGACGACGGGUAGCCGGCCUGAGAGGGCGACCGGCCACACUGGGACUGAGACACGGCCCAGACUCCUACGGGAGGCAGCAGUGGGGAAUAUUGCACAAUGGGCGCAAGCCUGAUGCAGCGACGCCGCGUGAGGGAUGACGGCCUUCGGGUUGUAAACCUCUUUCAGCAGGGAAGAAGCGCAAGUGACGGUACCUGCAGAAGAAGCGCCGGCUAACUACGUGCCAGCAGCCGCGGUAAUACGUAGGGCGCAAGCGUUGUCCGGAAUUAUUGGGCGUAAAGAGCUCGUAGGCGGCUUGUCACGUCGGGUGUGAAAGCCCGGGGCUUAACCCCGGGUCUGCAUCCGAUACGGGCAGGCUAGAGUGUGGUAGGGGAGAUCGGAAUUCCUGGUGUAGCGGUGAAAUGCGCAGAUAUCAGGAGGAACACCGGUGGCGAAGGCGGAUCUCUGGGCCAUUACUGACGCUGAGGAGCGAAAGCGUGGGGAGCGAACAGGAUUAGAUACCCUGGUAGUCCACGCCGUAAACGUUGGGAACUAGGUGUUGGCGACAUUCCACGUCGUCGGUGCCGCAGCUAACGCAUUAAGUUCCCCGCCUGGGGAG